CGCCAGAUUCCUGAAAUAUCUUGUAUUAGAAGAGUUUUCUCAAACAUGUAAUCCCUGGGCCAGUACCAUCAGCACCACCCAGAUCUACUAUUUAAACAACCCUCCAGCCCCAUAGAAAGAAAAUCUUUCUACCAGUAAAUCUUUGGAACUGAAAAAAGAUGGCAAGCUGGUUGUCAGGGCCUGAAAGGAAAAAUGGAAGGCUUUGUGGCAUAGCAUCUUGAAGAAAAGGAA
rnacentral:lncRNA from 1 species